rnacentral:rRNA from 1 species
ACUCCAGACUCCUACGGGAGGCAGCAGUGGGGGAUAUUGCACAAUGGGGGAAACCCUGAUGCAGCGACGCCGCGUGGGUGAAGAAGCGCCUCGGCGCGUAAAGCCCUGUCAGCAGGGAAGAAAAUGACGGUACCUGAAGAAGAAGCCCCGGCUAACUACGUGCCAGCAGCCGCGGUAAUACGUAGGGGGCAAGCGUUAUCCGGAUUUACUGGGGGUAAAGGGAGCGUAGGCGGUUUAGCAAGUCAGAAGUGAAAGCCCGGGGCUCAACCCCGGGACUGCAUUGGAAACUGCCGGGCUGAAGUGCCGGAGGGGCAAGCGGAAUUCCUGGUGUAGCGGUGAAAUGCGCAGAUAUCAGGAGGAACACCGGUGGCGAAGGCGGCCUGCUGGACGACGACUGACGCUGAGGCUCGAAAGCGUGGGGAGCAAACAGGAUUAGAUACCCCGGUACC